ensembl:lncRNA
CCUGGGAAACCAGGAGACGCCGUGACUCGUGCGUCUUGUAUCUAUAGAAACGACAACAUGGCGGCGGUGUGAGUUCUGAGCGUUGGUCCCAGCGACCCGGCGAGCUGCACGAGUGGCCAGGGAAGGUAUCUGUCUUAGGAGACCGUCUCCUUUGGGAAGUCGUGACGGGGUCCCCUCAGUGUCCGUCGGAGAGCCCUGAGAGUCCAGAGGCAGAGGCUGUUUGUAGAAUGCCCUAUGGUUACAGCCAUUACUGAGCCAGGGAAGUACUACAAAGCCAUCCAACAGCAGAAAAGUAAUGGGGCCUUCCUCCCUGUCUCACCAGCUUGCAUCUCUUUGAUUCCAUCUGAAUGUUCACUUCCAAUUGAAGGGCAUGUGGGAUCUAACCUGCACCCCCUGCAGUGGAAAUUUGGAGUGUUAACCACUGAACUGCCAGAGAAAUCCCC